rnacentral:rRNA from 1 species
UACGUAGGUGGCGAGCGUUAUCCGGAAUUACUGGGUGUAAAGGGAGCGUAGACGGUAAUGUAAGUCUGGAGUGAAAGGCGGGGGCCCAACCCCCGGACUGCUCUGGAAACUAUGUUACUAGAGUGCAGGAGAGGUAAGCGGAAUUCCUAGUGUAGCGGUGAAAUGCGUAGAUAUUAGGAGGAACACCAGUGGCGAAGGCGGCUUACUGGACUGUAACUGACGCUGAGGCUCGAAAGCGUGGGGAGCAAACAGG